UACUGAUUCAGCUAGUUCCAUGUUCUAAAAAUUGGGCGCCUAGGCGUGGUUCUUCCGCCCCGAUUUAUGCCAAAUCGGUUUAAAAAUCGCGCUAGGUCCAACCCCACCGCCUGACUAGCGCCUCGCGCGUUCCCGAACAUUGGCUGUAACAAUCAAGCUUCUGAUACAUUUGCUUCGCAUGUUCCUUUGAAUACCAAUCCAAUGCUUCGUUCCACUGUGCAGAGAGGAAAACAGG